rnacentral:rRNA from 1 species
AGUGAACGCUGGCGGUAGGCCUAACACAUGCAAGUCGAACGGCAGCACAGUAAGAGCUUGCUCUUACGGGUGGCGAGUGGCGGACGGGUGAGGAAUGCAUCGGAAUCUACUUUUUCGUGGGGGAUAACGUAGGGAAACUUACGCUAAUACCGCAUACGACCUACGGGUGAAAGCAGGGGAUCUUCGGACCUUGCGCGAUUGAAUGAGCCGAUGUCGGAUUAGCUAGUUGGCGGGGUAAAGGCCCACCAAGGCGACGAUCCGUAGCUGGUCUGAGAGGAUGAUCAGCCACACUGGAACUGAGACACGGUCCGGACUCCUACGGGAGGCAGCAGUGGGGAAUAUUGGACAAUGGGCGCAAGCCUGAUCCAGCCAUACCGCGUGGGUGAAGAAGGCCUUCGGGUUGUAAAGCCCUUUUGUUGGGAAAGAAAAGCAGCAGGUUAAUACCCCGCUGUUCUGACGGUACCCAAAGAAUAAGCACCGGCUAACUUCGUG